rnacentral:rRNA from 1 species
AUUGAACGCUGGCGGCAGGCCUAACACAUGCAAGUCGAGCGGAUGAAGGGAGCUUGCUCCUGGAUUCAGCGGCGGACGGGUGAGUAAUGCCUAGGAAUCUGCCUGGUAGUGGGGGAUAACGUCCGGACACGGGCGCUAAUACCGCAUACGUCCUGAGGGAGAAAGUGGGGGAUCUUCGGACCUCACGCUAUCAGAUGAGCCUAGGUCGGAUUAGCUAGUUGGUGGGGUAAAGGCCUACCAAGGCGACGAUCCGUAACUGGUCUGAGAGGAUGAUCAGUCACACUGGAACUGAGACACGGUCCAGACUCCUACGGGAGGCAGCAGUGGGGAAUAUUGGACAAUGGGCGAAAGCCUGAUCCAGCCAUGCCGCGUGUGUGAAGAAGGUCUUCGGAUUGUAAAGCACUUUAAGUUGGGAGGAAGGGCAGUAAGUUAAUACCUUGCUGUCUUGACGUUACCAACAGAAUAAGCCCCGGCUAACUUCGUG